rnacentral:rRNA from 1 species
CACUCCUGCGGGAGGCAGCAGUGGGGAAUUUUGGACAAUGGGGGCAACCCUGAUCCAGCAAUGCCGCGUGAGUGAAGAAGGCCUUCGGGUUGUAAAGCUCUUUUGUCAGGGAAGAAACGGUAGUAGCGAAUAACUAUUACUAAUGACGGUACCUGAAGAAUAAGCACCGGCUAACUACGUGCCAGCAGCCGCGGUAAUACGUAGGGUGCAAGCGUUAAUCGGAAUUACUGGGCGUAAAGCGUGCGCAGGCGGUUGUGUAAGUCAGAUGUGAAAUCCCCGGGCUCAACCUGGGAAUUGCAUUUGAGACUGCACGGCUAGAGUGUGUCAGAGGGGGGUAGAAUUCCACGUGUAGCAGUGAAAUGCGUAGAUAUGUGGAGGAAUACCGAUGGCGAAGGCAGCCCCCUGGGAUAACACUGACGCUCAUGCACGAAAGCGUGGGGAGCAAACAGGAUUAGAAACCCCAGUAGUCCCA